rnacentral:rRNA from 1 species
GGGGGAUAUCUACCCGAAAGCGUAGCUUAUACCCCAUACGCCCUACUGGCGAGAGCAGGGGAUCGCAAGACCUAGCACUAUUAUAGCGGCCGAUAUCCGAUUAACUAGUUGGUGGGGUAACGGCUCACCACAGGCGACCAACCAUAACUGGUUUGAGAGGACGACCAACCACACUGGGACUGACACACGGCCCAAACUCCUACCGGAGGCAGCAAUGGGGAAUUUUGGACGAUGGGUGAAACCCUGAUCCAUCCAUCCCGCGUGUGCGAUGAAAGACUUCCGAUUGUAAAGCACUUUUGGCAGGAAAGAAACGUCAUGUUCUAAUACCCCGUGACACUGACGGUACCUGCGCAAUAAUCACCGGCUAACUACGUGCCAGCAGCCGCGGUAAUACGUAUGGUGCAAGCGUUAAUCGGAAUCACUGGUCGUAAAGCGUGCUCACGCGGAUCGUAAAGAUCUAUGUGAAAUCCCAGAGCUUAACUUUGAAACUGCAUUUUUAACUACCUAGCUAGAGUGUGUCAGAGGGAGGUGGAAUUCCGCGUGUAGCAGUGAAAUGCGUAGAUAUGAGGAGGAACACCGAUGGCGAAGGCAGCCUCCUGGGAUAACACUGACGCUCAUGCA